CCACUCUGGCACAGCGUCUCUUUUGUGCUGUAUGCUCCUGCACAGUGCUACUUGUGGGCUGUCCUAGCUCAUGGAAACGCUUUCGGUCUCUGAGCUGUCAGCUGGACAGAUGUGGGCCGACUGGCAGCAGUGACAUCUAGUGGCUCCAGAAGCACCACACCAGGUUUGCAGUAAUGCAGCUGCUUCAAGACAGAAUGGAAACUAUAAAGGUCUUGAUCAGCCUGGCCAUAGAAAGGAAAACCUGUGUGCAAACUUGGCCCUGUCUGUACCUUAUAAAAAUUAAUGCACUCAACUUCUGAAG
rnacentral:lncRNA from 1 species